GACGAACGCUGGCGGCGUGCUUAACACAUGCAAGUCGAACGGAAAGGCCCUGCUUUUGUGGGGUGCUCGAGUGGCGAACGGGUGAGUAACACGUGAGUAACCUGCCCUUGACUUUGGGAUAACUUCAGGAAACUGGGGCUAAUACCGGAUAGGAGCUCCUGCUGCAUGGUGGGGGUUGGAAAGUUUCGGCGGUUGGGGAUGGACUCGCGGCUUAUCAGCUUGUUGGUGGGGUAGUGGCUUACCAAGGCUUUGACGGGUAGCCGGCCUGAGAGGGUGACCGGCCACAUUGGGACUGAGAUACGGCCCAGACUCCUACGGGAUGCAGCAGUGGGGAAUAUUGCACGAUGGGCGGAAGCCUGAUGCAGCAACGCCGCGUGCGGGAUGACGGCCUUCGGGUUGUAAACCGCUUUCGCCUGUGACGAAGCGUGAGUGACGGUAAUGGGUAAAGAAGCACCGGCUAACUACGUG
rnacentral:rRNA from 1 species